GAAUAAUUAAACGGCCGCGGUAUCCUAACCGUGCAAAGGUAGCAUAAUCAUUUGUCUAUUAAUUGUAGACCUGUAUGAAAGGCUAAAUGAGAAUCCAACUGUCUCUUACAACAAAUCAAUAAAACUGAUCUCCUAGUACAAAAGCUAGAAUACUAACAUAAGACCAGAAGACCCUGUGAAGCUUUAACAAACCCAUUAAACCAAAUAAUGCUUACUUUCGGUUGGGGCGACCUUGGAAUAAAAAAGAACUUCCAACAUAUGACUUCCUCAUAAAACAUAGGCGACAAGCCAAUAUUAGACCCAGCACAGCUGAUAAUUGAAAUAAGUUACUCCAGGGAUAACAGCGCUAUCUUCUUUAAGAGCCCAUAUCAAAAAGAAGGGUUACGACCUCGAUGUUGGAUCAGGACAUCCCAGUAAUGCAACCGUUACUAAAGGGUCGUUUGUUCAACGAUUAACAGUCCUACGUGAUCUGAG
rnacentral:rRNA from 1 species